GCCGCGGCUCUCAUCGCCAUCGACGCGGUGAAUAACAGCACGGAGAUCCUGCCAGGUCACCAGCUCGACUUUCGGUACGUGGACGAUGAAUGCGACGAUCUGGUCGGCCCGGGAAGGAUCGUCGCUCUGCAGCAAAAACACAAUUUCAGCGCAUUCAUCGGCCCCUGCUGCUCAAACGUGCGUGACGCUUAACUACGCUGGAAAGUAGUAGUCUGACACACAGUCAAGUAAGGAAUAAAACAAAAACAUGGAAAUAGAACUCAACAGCGUUUCCUUUAUUAUGCCUUGUUUAAGGUGUGUGCAGUGACGGCUAAGCUAGCGGCUUACUGGAACAUCGCUAUGGUCAGUCCUGUUUGUGCAGAUCAGCAGUUUUUAGACAAAAAGGCGUUUCCCACCCUGACGCGAGUGUUCGGGCCCUUCACCAAGUUGGGAACCUUCUUCGUAGAGAUUUGUAAGCAGUUCGGAUGGCAGCGUAUUAGCAUCAUUUAUAACAAAGAACCCACGUGGAGUACUCCGGCAGAAGGGAUUCGGUACCAAGCAGAGCAUAAUAACAUCACAGUGGCAAACUAUCUGGAAAUUGAUGGUCCUUCUACCCAUAAUUCCACUGUGCUGCAGUCGAAGGCUCUGACUGAGAUCUCCAGCUCGUCGCGCA
ensembl:lncRNA